UUUUUCUUAAUUUUUAAACGUUUAAUUUUUUUUUAUUAAAAUAGAGACAUUAAAUACGUAUGACACAAUUGUUUUUAAUUUGAACAAAAACUAACUUGGAGACGUAAAUAUACUUAUUAUUGUUUAAUAUUAGCAAACGUAACUAACAGGUAAUAUGCUCCAGGUAACUUAUGCAAAGUAUCACCUAUAUUGGACAGUAACUCAUGCAAUCACUGAAAUAUAAUUACCGUAAAUAUUCACAAAGUACCAUUAAUAAAUCAGCCCAUCUUCCUGAUUUAGUAGUUCUUAUAGUUACGAUAAGGACCAUAAUUUAUAUGCCGACGUACAACUAAAUUAGAACAUAGAAAUCCGAACUAUUGACUUGGAAAAAACUAAUUUUACUUGUGCUCCUUUGACAAACAAAACUAACCUAACCUUCCCUAGGCCCUUAUACACGAUAUCUGAGGCCUAAUAUAGUACAUAUGUGUACUAUACUAGGCCUAGGAAUAUUUGAGUUUGUGUUUUACCAUCAUUUAUUUUAAAAGAAUUCAUUACUAAUCAGUAUACUACUAUCAAAAAACUAAGAACGUACGAAUUCUGACUAUUAACGAUCGUCACAAUAGUUACUAUCUAAACAGUAGGAUGGGUUGCUAUUAAAAACUGUCUAUUAUGCCCGAAACGCUUUGCGUAAUAGUGGCUUUAGGCAUUGUAUGUACUAGCUAUACCUAUAAGUCAAACAAUCCUUGUAAAUAUUUAUUGUAUGUAUGUACCUUACCUAAAUAAAAUUGUAUUGUAUUGUAUUGUAUUGUAUUGUAUUAGGUUUGCCGUUUCUUGCCUAUUAGGCCAAAGUGUAAGGUUGUGCUUAAACACCACAAUGCACUCACAACCAGCCGUCUCCUCUACUCCGUUAAGGCACGAAAAAGAUCUUGAACUUCAAGUGGAAUAACACACCAGGUACAGACGACCAGGAGCCAGACAUAACACACCAGGUACAGUCGACCAGGAGCCAGACAUAACACACCAGGUACAGACGACCAGGAGCCAGACAUAACACACCAGGUACAGACGACCAGGAGCCAGACAUAACACACCAGGUACAGACGACCAGGAGCCAGACAUAACACACCAGGUACAGACGACCAGGAGCCAGACAUAACACACCAGGUACAGACGACCAGGAGCCAGACAUAACACACCAGGUACAGACGACCAGGAGCCAGACAUAACACACCAGGUACAGACGACCAGGAGCCAGACAUAACACACCAGGUACAGACGACCAGGAGCCAGACAUAACACACCAGGUACAGUCGACCAGGAGCCAGACAUAACACACCAGGUACAGUCGACCAGGAGCCAGACAUAACACACCAGGUACAGACGACCAGGAGCCAGACAUAACACACCAGGUACAGACGACCAGUAGCCAGACAUAACACACCAGGUACAGUCGACCAGGAGCCAGACAUAACACACCAGGUACAGACGACCAGGAGCCAGACAUAACACACCAGGUACAGACGACCAGGAGCCAGACAUAACACACCAGAUACAGACGACCAGGAGCCAGACAUAACACACCAGGUACAGACGACCAGGAGCCAGACAUAACACACCAGGUACAGUCGACCAGGAGCCAGACAUAACACACCAGGUACAGUCGACCAGGAGCCAGACAUAACACACCAGGUACAGUCGACCAGGAGCCAGACAUAACACACCAGGUACAGACGACCAGGAGCCAGACAUAACACACCAGGUACAGUCGACCAGGAGCCAGACAUAACACACCAGGUACAGUCGACCAGGAGCCAGACAUAACACUAGGUACAGUCGACCAGGAGCCAGACAUAACACACCAGGUACAGUCGACCAGGAGCCAGACAUAACACACCAGGUACAGUCGACCAGGAGCCAGACAUAACACACCAGGUACAGUCGACCAGGAGCCAGACAUAACACACCAGGUACAGUCGACCAGGAGCCAGACAUAACACACCAGGUACAGUCGACCAGGAGCCAGACAUAACACACCAGGUACAGACGACCAGGAGCCAGACAUAACACACCAGGUACAGACGACCAGGAGCCAGACAUAACACACCAGGUACAGACGACCAGGAGCCAGACAUAACACACCAGGUACAGUCGACCAGGAGCCAGACAUAACACACCAGGUACAGACGACCAGGAGCCAGACAUAACACACCAGGUACAGACGACCAGGAGCCAGACAUAACACACCAGAUACAGACGACCAGGAGCCAGACAUAACACACCAGGUACAGACGACCAGGAGCCAGACAUAACACACCAGGUACAGACGACCAGGAGCCAGACAUAACACACCAGGUACAGUCGACCAGGAGCCAGACAUAACACACCAGGUACAGUCGACCAGGAGCCAGACAUAACACACCAGGUUCAGACGACCAGGAGCCAGACAUAACACACCAGGUACAGUCGACCAGGAGCCAGACAUAACACACCAGGUACAGUCGACCAGGAGCCAGACAUAACACACCAGGUACAGUCGACCAGGAGCCAGACAUAACACACCAGGUACACACGGGUAAGCGCUCAUGUAUUCACGUCAACAUCCCUGCCCUACACCCCCCACUGUUCAAUUACAAUUGAACAGUGAUUCAAUUGUAAUUGAUUGUAAUUGUAAUUGUAAUUACAGGUACAAUUAAUCAGUAAAGACAAACUGAAAUACUACGAAGUUCAGAGAUGAUGACGAUGAGAAUUGGUUUUGUCGGGGGGACAGUAAGACACACACACACACACACACACACACACACACACACACACACACACACACACACACACACACACACACAUCAGGGAAUGACGUUUUACAUUAUAGAAAGACAAAAAUAAAAGUAACAUUAAAAUCUUGCAGCGUUUAAUUAUUAAGAUAUUGCAAAAUCAGGCGGGCGGGGGGUACACUGGCACAGUGCCAUGAGAUACUCGAUUCAUUUAUGGCAACUCCAACCCGACUAUGUUGCGCAUGCACCCAUCCUCAGACAGACAGAUAUUCUAAUUUAUAUAGAUAUAGAUACUUGAGCGGGUACCCGACGUUGGUCGGCUGAGGCCAUAUCUUCAUUACACACUAUUAUCACUGUAACCAUCUUUAUUACAUAACCAACAUUACUAUAUUCACAAUUGCUUCACACUAUCUUCACUGUAACUACCUAAUUACAUAUUAUCUUCUUUAAUGUAAUGAUGUACACAACCUGGUGAAAGAUGUACACUACCUGCUGAAUGAAAUAUUAUUAUCCACUAUAGUGUGGUUGACUGAAAAAAAUAUAUAUAUCAAUAUAAAUAUUCUAAUCCCACGCCCAUCGCAGCAAUCAAUCACCUUGACUCAUCCUGAUCCAUAAAAUACUGGUUGUUAAUUGAUGAAAAUGUUAAAUUUAAAUCAACAUUGCAAAAUACAGACACCCGAGACAUUUUAAAAUUACUACCAUAUAAUCAACAUACAGUUCCUUUCUAACGAGAAGUUAUUACUAUUACUACAAAAUCUGAAAUUCUGCUACUGGAGUACAAGGGCUGUGUUGCUGGUGACAUAUUUGUCCUGUACACUGUGUAGGCUUCAUUAUAAAGAGUUAAAUAUUUCCCUUAUUUAACAUUAGCCAUUUAAAAGGUAUACGUUUGAGAACCGAGACGCGUAUGUCCAUCAACGAAACAGUGUGCGUUGAUGUAUAUGAAAACACUAUUUAAGGAAUGGUGUGCAGUGUUGGACCCCCAGCUCCUCCAUAUUUGUCAACAUGCUUAUAGUAUUCAUCAUGAAUCUGUGUACAAAUAGUGGCAUUGUAUCGCUCUAGCAGUGCUAGCUGGAAUGCCUCACAGGCGCUCUAGCACCUUAUCUCAGGACCAACUUGCAGUACAAAGACAAACAAUUAUCACCUGAGUACCACAGUCGAGCCCACUUAGCAGCCUCCAAGUCUCACGCCUUUUUCAUAAACUUAAACUUUUAAUUGACCACUUUUACAAGGGCUUGAACUCUUAAGACUAUGUAAAAUCGUGAACACUAAGAGGUGCUCAGUGAGCGUGUGUGUGUGUGUGUGUGUGUGUGUUAGUACAAACCUUCUACAAUCCAGCAUUAUAUGUGCUUCAUGCCAGGGGUCACUGGCUGGGCGUGUGUGUGUGUGAUCCACUUGUGGCUGCAGGAUCUUCUGUGCCAAAUUAAUGAUCAGGCUCAUGAAAUUUGCUCACAUGCUACAUAGCUCCGAAUUUUGUGUUUAGAGCUUGGUAUGUGGCCUAAUUUAUUUUGAAUUUAUAUAAUGUUUGCUAAUUUCAUUGUCGAUGUAACACACAAAUUCCUAAUGUACAUGCCAUUGUUUUCUAUGAAACUAUGUAGUAAUGUUUGAACAUGACAUAGGCUUCACUUUUACACUCGAGGCCAGAGGUAGUUUGUUCAGAUGAACCUCAUUUUGUAUUGUAUGGUCUUGUUAAAACUAAUUUGAGCCGUGUACUUAAAAGUGUGAUUAAGUUUGUCAUUUUAUUUGCGUAAUAAUUCAGUGUUGCAAGGGCUCAAGUGUUUGUCCAUCUUGCUAGUGUGUUGCUCACACCUUCAGCACUGUGGUUCAUGGGUGAUAUUACAAAACAUAUAAUUUCCAUGGUUUGGGGUGUGGGCGACACACACGGUGACAAUGGCUUAGUGUCAUAAUUCUUGCCAGAUAAAUUAAACAUGUUUAAAGAUUACAAUUGAUCACAACCUAGUCGAGCUCACUGUACGUGAUCCACAUUUGUCUCGUCUACGACACAUCACUUGGGCCUGCGUGCCGUAUCUCUUUUUAUCAAGUCAGUGCUGGCCUACAAUAUAUGGCCAAACACACUGAAAUGGCCAAGGCCAGUGCAGCGUUGCCAUAUGAUCAUGUGAAGCACCAGUGAGCCGAGGUAGCAACUGGCCUUCACGUAGCCUCGUGAGCGGCCGCUGCAGCACCCUCCGCCACGGUGGGUGGACGCCCACAUUAGUACAAAGAUUACUUGGGAGUGCCCCAAAUAGACAAUCCUGCAUGACCCUCUAUCCUUUCCUAUUGAGGGUCGUGGGAUUUGUCCUUCCCUACUGCUCCUCUCCAGACAUUUAGUAAAAAGUCCACAAGUUAACAGACAAGUGUAUGUCAAGGAGAAGGUCAAGCAGCUGCUUUUGUAAUGAAAAUAAAUCGGUAUUUUUUGGCUAGAGGGAGAUGGUGGGUGGACAGGCCGGAGGCCCAGGGUGAAAGUGGUGAUAAUAUUGUAGUGUUUUGGUAGCCCGGACUCUGCCUGUCUACCCACAACCUCACUCAUAUUUCAGCAUUUUUUUAUGUAGACUUUUAAUGUUCCAGUCAACCUCUUAUUGUUGCUCCCAAAUGUAAUGUCAUAUAUGAUUAUAAUAAACAAUAUGUAGUAAA